ensembl:lincRNA
NNNNNNNNNNNNNNNNNNNNNNNNNNNNNNNNNNNNNNNNNNNNNNNNNNNNNNNNNNNNNCGCUCCUGCUCCUGCUGGUGCUGCUGCUGCUGCUGCUGCUGCUCCUGCUGGCCGAAGGCGAGGCCGCCCAAGACCCCUGACGCUCGGGAUGGGGCCUGGGGCGGGCGGGGCGCAGACCGGCGAGGGCGGCUACCCCAUCCCUUGCAGGACCGCGACUCGCCCGCCCUGUGGGAUGGGGGCAUCCCGCGGCCUCUCGCCCGGAAAAGCGAAGGUGGUAGGUUUCUCCACGGACCGUCGGGUUAGGCAGCAGGAUAUAAUCACUUGGCGAUUAUUUGUAAAGAAAAGAGAAAAUCAAAUUUUUCUUUUGUGGUACACUAUCAGCUCCCUGAAGAAAAGAUCAAAGGAAGUUGUAGAAGAGAACGCCAUUUAGAGCCAGAUCUGGAAGGAUGGAGAGGAGUUUCACCAGGAAGAGAAGAGAUGAUGGCACAGAAUGGACAGUCGCCAAGAGGCAUGAAAUUGCAUGGAUAGGCAGGGAAUGAUGAGUGCUAGUCCAGGGUGACUUUAGGAAACUCGGGGAAUCAGAGACAAGAUUGUGAAGAUAGUCCUGGGUUCAACUGUGAUAAGUCUUGUAGAGCAGGCUGAAGAAGUUGAUCAUGACUUUGUAGGCAGUGGGGAAGCAGCUAAGAGCUAUAAACAGAAAAAUGAUUUGUUUGAGUCUCUUUUUUAUAUCGUGUUGGUGCUCCAAGAGGUGAAAUUUGGAGGAGUGAUGGACCUAGCAAGAGCACUUACAGGACACAGAUUUGAGAGUUAAUAAGGUUCUUCUCUGGAGUAAUGCAUGGUGAGCAUUAGAGUGGACAUAUGUCAUAGACACUCAGAUGUUAGUAAUAUUUUUUACCCAAUAGAAGAAAGUUAAUCCAUCCAUCCAUCCAUUCAUUCAUUCAUUCAUUCAUUAUUCAUUCAUCAGUUAUUAAGUACCUAUUAUUUACCUAGUUCCUAGUAUGUUCAGGACCACAGAAGUUGUAACACACUGCCCCUGCUUUGUAAUGAAUUUACAGUCUACUCUGGAGCAAGAUAUACAUGCAGGAAAGGUAAAAUAACACAAUAUCGUGUAUUAUUAAGUAUCAAAGCAUCAUCAUAGCAAAUCAGGACAAUAACAAUUCCUGAGGGCCACAGAAAUCAGAAAUUGCUCAUGAGGAAAAAAAUUAAGAAGGGCUUUCCAGAAGAGAUAUUCCUUGAGCUGAGUUUAGGUGGCCAAGUAGGAGAAUUGCUAGAUAAAAUACAGAAAUAGCCACAUCUGCAGAAGCACUGAGACAUUAAGAACUUGAUACAUUCAGGCAAACAGAUGAGAACUGCAAAUUAGACACGCAGCUGAAGUGUAGGAAUAGUUUGUGGAAGGGGCAGAAAUUUGGCUAAAAAGAGGUAGACGGGGACCAGAAAAUAUAGAACUUUAUGUGAUAAUAUAAAGAAUUUUCAUUGCAAAAGUUAUUGGAGGAUUUUCAAGUUCAGGAUGAAUGUCAUGAUUGGGUUUGUACUUUAAGAAGGUCACACUACAAAGAGUAUAGAAUAACUCUGAAGGUUGCUGGCCGGAUGAUGGUGUCAUUUACUAUGGGAACAUGCAAAGAGCAGGUUGGGGAGAAGGAUUUUAAGUCCCAAUUUUUUGAUGUGAUGGGCUUGAAGUGUGUGUUAAUUUCCUAAGGGCUACUAUAACAAAUUUAGUCACUUCAAACACCAGAAAUUUAUUUUCUCAUAGUUCCGAAGGCUAGAAUUCAGAAAAUCAUUAGGGUUGGCUCCUUCUGGAAGCUUUGAGGGAGAAGCUGAUCUAUGCCUCACUCCCAGCUUCUGGUGACAAGUUGUGGCAUUUCUUGCCUUGUAGAAACAUUACUUCAGUCUCUGCCUCUGUCUUCCCAAUGCCUUCUCCUCUGCGUGUCUUUGUCCUGUUCUUCUCUUUUAAGGACACCAGUCAUGAGAUUUAGAGCCUAACCCAAAUCCAGGGUGAUCUCUCUUGAGAUCCUUAACUUAUUUAUAUAAGUUAAAAACCUGUUCUCAAAACCCUAUUUUGAAAAGCCUAUUUCCAAGUAAUAUCACACUCGCAGGUACUGGUGACUCGGACUUGGAUAUAUUUUGGUGGGGGGACACUAUUCAAUGAAGGAUAACUGUCUUCCUCAUCUGACUAGUACUCUAGCCUUGCUUUGCACUUCCAAAAGCAAAAGGAAAUGCAGAAUUAAAGACUGUGUUAUGUUGUAGAAAGAGCAAAAACUUUAGCCAGAAGAAACUGGGUUCAAUCCAGGCUCUAUAUUAGUUGAAAACUUAGGCUUUUAACCUCUGAGAGUCUUGAUUUCUUUAUUUUUAAAAUGGGGAUAAUAUGACCUAUUAUAAAACUGGCAGGGAAGUUAAAUACUCAUUCUCAGGUGUAUUGUAGACCCUACUAUUAAAAAAAAAAAAAAAAAAGCUUAAAGAUAACACAUUUAGAAAUGACCCACAUUAAAGAUGGGGUUAUGUGAGUAUAACGCGUGCUCAGACUACAGCAACAGACACGAAGAAUGGGGAGGUGACCUGUCAGAGAGACAGACGUCAGCAAUGAAGGCUCCCAAGAGAAGGUGACUUUUCAGAUAGUCAAAGGGGCUUUUGGCAUCAAGAAAAUCAAUUACCAGGUAUCUCACCACCUAAGUCAAAGAGAAGUUAGCAAAACAAAGGCAGGGCUUCUAGUCUUAAAAACUGGGGUAUCAGGCAGAUUUCUAAGAUGUUAUGAAGUUUCUGUGCUAUGCUAGGCGUUCCAGAUAAAAGGACAAGUAAGACAUGGACCUUCCAGAUAGAGCUCACCAUCUUUCAGGUGACACAGACAGGUAAACAAGAUAAAUUACAAUAAUGUGCUACAAAAGACAAGCGGAGUUCAAGGACAGACCAGCUAAAAACUGCCUGUGGGAGACUGGGAAAGCUUUAGAGUGUGUGUGACAUUUGGAUGGAUUCUAGGAGGAUGGCUAGAGCGUGCUUGCCAGAGAAAAAGAGGAGCUCUUUCCAAGCAGAGGAAAAAGAGGUAAAGUGUAGGAAGUAAGACCUAUGGUACCAGAAAUGGAGGAUCAGUCAGAAGCCCAGGACCAGAGCCAAAGUGUUAACAGACUUACUGCUGACUCCCAACGCUUUGUACUACAAUUUACAGUUAUCCUGGUUAAGAUGCAGGUUUGUCCUAGAGAUCCUAGCAGGACUGAGCACAGAGAUGGGAGUCAGUAAUCCUAGCAUUUGGGAACGAAGAUAAACAUAUUCAUGACCAGUAAGCUACUGACAUUAGCCAAAAUCAGAGAGAAGGGGAAAGUUUGUGAGGGAUUUCUUAUGCAACAGAUGAUCUAAUUUAUACUUCACAGCCAUGUUCUGAUGGAAAGCAGGCAGAGCCAUGAAAUAACAGUUCAGUCAUCAAAAAAAGCAAAAUUGAGCUGGUUCCUAGAAAAAGAACAUUUUUGCCAGCUGGUCUCUUUGCUCUUUCCUGCUGACUUAGGCGGCCCUGGGCCCCAAAGGUGCUUUCUAGAAGUGGUUUCAGCUCCCUGAGAAACAGCUCUUACACCUCGGUUGCUACCCACCCAUUGCGUUGAAAACAAAUAAAUAAGAUCAACGUUGGGUUCUAGUGUGCUGUGAGCAUCUAUUAGCUUGGGUUUCCCACAAUGUGUACCGACAACACCGUCUCCAAUAAUAAAUGGAAAAUCCAACCCCAAUACCACGGAAGAAAGCAUCAGACUUCACAGGCUCUCCAAAGUUAAGCAGCAUCCCUAAAGCGGCUUCACGUCCUCCUCGAGUCCUCUCACUUGCCAAGAUUUUAGCUGGCUAAUCGGCAACGUGCUAACUUCCGUGCACCAGGACACCACCCCCGUCCCCGUGUGUUCUCCAAUACGCCUCUUCCCGCCCUGGCCACGGAGACCCCGGCCCAUAAGGCAAGGAGGACGCGACAGCUCGGGACCGCGCCAGCCCUCGGUGAGGGGAACCGACGGCGAAGGAAGGGGCGGCGUCGUCGUCUGAAGCGCCCCUUCGGGAGAAUGGAGGCGGGGGCGGCGGACCUCGCCCGCGGGCAGCCGGAGGACUCGGAGACUUCCCCGCGCCGGAGGGGCAGGGGUGCGGCGAGCGGAGCCCCCNNNNNNNNNNNNNNNNNNNNNNNNNNNNNNNNNNNNNNN